UCUCUCUUCGCGCGGCGUGAUUGUCAAAAGCAGAAAAAAGAAAAGAAAAAACAUCUCGGAGUGUUGUUGAGAAUAAAAAAAAUUAUUUUGGUUUCUUGUCAGGAAAAAAAAGCCGCUCUCAAGAUUCAAAAAAUAUUGGAUAAAAAGAAGGUGGAUACUAUAUAAAAAGGAGGAUCGUUAAGGAGGACUCAAGAACCAAUCGACAUGGGUCAUUAGGAUUUUUUUCGGACAUAAUAUACAAAAAGAAAAAAGUGGUCAAGUUCAGCCUACUACAUUUUUUGGCUUCAAGCUGAAUUAUAAUCCAAUUAAUAUUGUAUAUGUUAUCACUGCGAAAAUUUUGGAGUUUUUGAAAUAAAAUUUUUAAAUAAGAAUAUUUAGGAUAUUUAAAAUAAAAUUUUUAAAUAAAAAUAUUUAGAAUAUUUAAAAUAAAAA